UUGGAUUUAACUAAAACAGAGGAAGGGAUGCUGAGAUAAAGUUUCUUGACACUUUAAAUGACUGCUUUUGGAGCAGCUGGUCUUGGAACCUACAAGAA